rnacentral:rRNA from 1 species
CUGAAGCCUGGUGCUUGCACCGGGUGGAUGAGUGGCGAACGGGUGAGUAAUACGUGAGUGACCUGCCUUUGACUCUGGGAUAAGCCUGGGAAACUGGGUCUAAUACCGGAUGCGACUACUGCCCGCAUGGGCUGGUGGUGGAAAGGGUUAUGUACUGGUCUUAGAUGGGCUCACGGCCUAUCAGCUGGUUGGUGGGGUAAUGGCCUACCAAGGCGACGACGGGUAGCCGGCCUGAGAGGGUGACCGGCCACACUGGGACUGAGACACGGCCCAGACUCCUACGGGAGGCAGCAGUGGGGAAUAUUGCACAAUGGGCGCAAGCCUGAUGCAGCGACGCCGCGUGAGGGAUGACGGCCUUCGGGUUGUAAACCUCUUUCAGCAGGGAAGAAGCGGAAGUGACGGUACCUGCAGAAGAAGCGCCGGCUAACUACGUGCCAGCAGCCGCGGUAAUACGUAGGGCGCAAGCGUUGUCCGGAAUUAUUGGGCGUAAAGAGCUCGUAGGCGGCUUGUCGCGUCUGCUGUGAAAGCCCGGGGCUUAACUCCGGGUGUGCAGUGGGUACGGGCAGGCUAGAGUGCAGUAGGGGUAACUGGAAUUCCUGGUGUAGCGGUGAAAUGCGCAGAUAUCAGGAGGAACACCGAUGGCGAAGGCAGGUUACUGGGCUGUUACUGACGCUGAGGAGCGAAAGCAUGGGGAGCGAACAGGAUUAGAUACCCUGGUAGUCCAUGCCGUAAACGUUGGGCACUAGGUGUGGGGGACAUUCCACGUUUUCCGCGCCGUAGCUAACGCAUUAAGUGCCCCGCCUGGGAGUACGGCCGCAAGGCUAAAACUCAAAGGAAUUGACGGGGGCCCGCACAAGCGGCGGAGCAUGCGGAUUAAUUUCGAUGCAACGCGAAGAACCUUA